UACGGAGGAUCCGAGCGUUAUCCGGAUUUAUUGGGUUUAAAGGGAGCGUAGGCGGGAGGAUAAGUUGAAUGUGAAAUCUAUGGGCUCAACCCAUAGCUGCGUUCAAAACUGUUCUUCUUGAGUGAAGUAGAGGCAGGCGGAAUUCCUAGUGUAGCGGUGAAAUGCGUAGAUAUUAGGAGGAACACCAGUGGCGAAGGCGGCCUGCUGGGCUUUUACUGACGCUGAGGCACGAAAGCGUGGGGAGCAAAUAGG
rnacentral:rRNA from 1 species